rnacentral:rRNA from 1 species
UGACGUUAGCGGCGGACGGGUGAGUAACACGUGGAUAACCUACCUAUAAGACUGGGAUAACUUCGGGAAACCGGAGCUAAUACCGGAUAAUAUAUUGAACCGCAUGGUUCAAUAGUGAAAGACGGUUUUGCUGUCACUUAUAGAUGGAUCCGCGCCGCAUUAGCUAGUUGGUAAGGUAACGGCUUACCAAGGCAACGAUGCGUAGCCGACCUGAGAGGGUGAUCGGCCACACUGGAACUGAGACACGGUCCAGACUCCUACGGGAGGCAGCAGUAGGGAAUCUUCCGCAAUGGGCGAAAGCCUGACGGAGCAACGCCGCGUGAGUGAUGAAGGUCUUCGGAUCGUAAAACUCUGUUAUUAGGGAAGAACAAAUGUGUAAGUAACUAUGCACGUCUUGACGGUACCUAAUCAGAAAGCCACGGCUAACUACGUGCCAGCAGCCGCGGUAAUACGUAGGUGGCAAGCGUUAUCCGGAAUUAUUGGGCGUAAAGCGCGCGUAGGCGGUUUUUUAAGUCUGAUGUGAAAGCCCACGGCUCAACCGUGGAGGGUCAUUGGAAACUGGAAAACUUGAGUGCAGAAGAGGAAAGUGGAAUUCCAUGUGUAGCGGUGAAAUGCGCAGAGAUAUGGAGGAACACCAGUGGCGAAGGCGACUUUCUGGUCUGUAACUGACGCUGAUGUGCGAAAGCGUGGGGAUCAAACAGGAUUAGAUACCCUGGUAGUCCACGCCGUAAACGAUGAGUGCUAAGUGUUAGGGGUUUCCGCCCCUUAGUGCUGCAGCUAACGCAUUAAGCACUCCGCCUGGG